rnacentral:rRNA from 1 species
GAUGAACGCUGGCGGCGUGCCUAAUACAUGCAAGUCGAGCGAAUGGAUUAAGAGCUUGCUCUUAUGAAGUUAGCGGCGGACGGGUGAGUAACACGUGGGUAACCUGCCCAUAAGACUGGGAUAACUCCGGGAAACCGGGGCUAAUACCGGAUAACAUUUUGAACCGCAUGGCUCGAAAUUGAAAGGCGGCUUCGGCGGUCACUUAUGGAUGGACCCGCGUCGCAGUAGCUAGUUGGUGAGGUAACGGCUCACCAAGGCAACGAUGCGUAGCCGACCUGAGAGGGUGAUCGGCCACACUGGGACUGAGACACGGCCCAGACUCCUACGGGAGGCAGCAGUAGGGAAUCUUCCGCAAUGGACGAAAGUCUGACGGAGCAACGCCGCGUGAGUGAUGAAGGCUUUCGGGUCGUAAAACUCUGUUGUUAGGGAAGAACAAGUGCUAGUUGAAUAAGCUGGCACCUUGACGGUACCUAACCAGAAAGCCACGGCUAACUACGUGCCAGCCGCCGCAGUAA